rnacentral:rRNA from 1 species
AGCGAACGCUGGCGGCAGGCCUAACACAUGCAAGUCGAACGAACUCUUCGGAGUUAGUGGCGGACGGGUGAGUAACACGUGGGAACGUGCCUUUUGGUUCGGAAUAACUCAGGGAAACUUGUGCUAAUACCGAAUGUGCCCUUCGGGGGACAGAUUUAUCGCCAUUAGAGCGGCCCGCGUCUGAUUAGCUAGUUGGUGAGGUAACGGCUCACCAAGGCGACGAUCAGUAGCUGGUCUGAGAGGAUGACCAGCCACACUGGGACUGAGACACGGCCCAGACUACUACGGGAGGCAGCAGUGGGGAAUCUUGCGCAAUGGGCGAAAGCCUGACGCAGCCAUGCCGCGUGAAUGAUGAAGGUCUUAGGAUUGUAAAAUUCUUUCACCGGGGACGAUAAUGACGGUACCCGGAGAAGAAGCCCCGGCUAACUUCGUG